rnacentral:misc_RNA from 1 species
AAAUCCUGCUAAAUCCAUUAUGUUUAUCUUCAUAAUGAAAUUGUUUUUCAAAUCAUUUUUGUUUAUGUGCAAAAUUAUAGACCAUAUUUCAAAAAAUAAAUGUUUGUAUAAAGUUUGAAAAUUUUACCAGAACAAAGAGGUAUUCAAUUAAUUGUUAACUUUUUAGUGAUUUUUGUAAUUAAAUGAAUGUUGUUAUAAAGAUCUGUAAUUACUGAGAAGUAUAAAAGAUUCAAUUUUAGAAGAAUAACCUCGAAAAAAAAAAAGCAACAUGAGAAGGAAAAAAAUGAAUAUCACAGAUUAGGAAACUAUUUUGACUUUUAAUUUUAUUAUUAUUAUUUCUUGAAUAUUAGCAUAAUAUUUAAGAUUUUAUUUUGAGCAUAUUUAUUAUUAUAUUUGCUAUUGCUAUUAUAGACAAAUUCUUUCUAAUAAUAUAUGGUCUUUUUUAAAUGCAAUUUUAAUGUAAAAAUAUUACAUUGUUACAUUCUUAU